UGAGCAAUCUGCCCUUCUCAUCGGAAUAAGCGUUGGAAACGACGUCUAAUGCCGAAUACGACCUCCUUUCGCAUGAUCGGAGGUGGAAAGCUCCGGCGGAGAAGGAUGAGCUCGCGGCCUAUCAGCUAGUUGGUGUGGGUAAUGGCCCACCAAGGCGACGACGGGUAGUCGGCCUGAGAGGGUGACCGGCCACACUGGGACUGAGACACCGGCCCAGACCUCCGUACGGGGAGCAG
rnacentral:rRNA from 1 species